rnacentral:lncRNA from 1 species
CUUCUUUCUCCUCCAUCUCCUUGUUCUCAUAGAAGAGUUUACUGGUCUUACAGUUUUGGAGGGUGAUUCCAUGACCAUUAUGGUGUGGAGCAUGACGGCAGGUGGACAGGCACGACGCUGGAGUAGUAGCCCGGAGCUUCCAUCCUUCUAGAAAUUUCUUGGACUCCCAUUUACUGAUCUUUACACAGAGGAAUCGACAUGGACAGUAUUUCUCCAUCAAUCCCACUUAGGCACUUCCAUGCGUCUGCCACCUUCCAUCCCAGGGAGCCAUCUCCUUUUGAGGCUGACAAGGGCUUGCAUUUCUUAUGCAAAAACAGAACUUCAGUCAGAAUAUGUGAUUGGUCUAAACUCCAGGCAUGAGUCAAAAUCAAGCCUCCUGAUCCCAAGUCUCAAGCAAGGGCUUUCAGAUGGUCCCUUCAAGCCCACUGCUUCUGAGGUGAGAAUACCACUCUGCAGUCAUCCUGGAGAAGGCGAAGACCCCAUCUACAUAGGCUGCCCCUGUAAACAUGUGGUGUGCUGUGAGUAGGGACCCAACAAAGGCACACACCACUCCAUAGCCUAGGUGGCUGUGUCUUCUUACACAGAAGAGAGGACUGAGUAUAUAAGGCAGGAGAACUUGGCCAAGCUCACACAACCAGGAAGUGUCAGAGCUGGGAUUCCACCUUAGCAAGGAGAGGAUGAGCAGGCAUUUUUCACAUAGGGCAGAGAAACCAUUAUCUUAGUAGCCUGUUGGGGUGAGGUGGAUUUCCAGUGGGAUCACCAGAGUGGAAGCAGUGUCAGAAAAAUAAGGGAUCCAGAAAAAAAUGCACACCUUGUCUGUGUGUCAGCAGUUGACAAUACAUGUGGACAAGGAACUCUUGUGGCAUGACAGUCCUUUGAAAGACUGGGGGAGAAGCUGUUCAGGUGGACAGCGAUGCCAUCUGUGGUUAGCUGGCUGGUUGGAGGCUCAUCCAGACUGGUUCCAGGAAUGGCAGGGUCAGGGUCUGAAAGGCAGUUUCCUGACUUAGGAACUAAGUACACACAAAUGCAAAAAAAAUGGAC